CUGGCGGCGUGCCUAAUACAUGCAAGUCGAACGGUCUUUCUAUGGAAGCUUGCUUCCGCUGAGAAGAUAGUGGCGAACGGGUGAGUAACACGUGGGUAACCUGCCCAUAAGAGGGGGAUAACAUCCGGAAACGGGUGCUAAUACCGCAUAGUUUUCUUGAUCGCAUGAUCGGGAAAGAAAAGACGGCCUUUGUGCUGUCGCUUAUGGAUGGACCCGCGGCGUAUUAGUUAGUUGGUGAGGUAACGGCUCACCAAGACGAUGAUACGUAGCCGACCUGAGAGGGUGAUCGGCCACAUUGGGACUGAGACACGGCCCAAACUCCUACGGGAGGCAGCAGUAGGGAAUCUUCCGCAAUGGACGAAAGUCUGACGGAGCAACGCCGCGUGAGUGAAAGAAGGUUUUCGGAUCGUAAAACUCUGUUGUCAGAGAAGAACAAGUUGGAGAGUAACUGCCCCAGCCUUGACGGUAUCUGACCAGAAAGCCACGGCUAACUACGUGCCAGCCGCUGC
rnacentral:rRNA from 1 species